rnacentral:rRNA from 1 species
UCGACCCUCUCAGGGAUCAAGCUAACGCGAUAAGUGUACCGCCUGAGGACUACGACCGCAAGGUUAAAACUCAAAGGAAUUGACGUGGACCCGCACAAGCGGUGGAGCAUGUGGAUUAAUUCGAUGCAACGCGAAGAACCUUACCUAGGCUUGACAUGGAUGGGACCGGGUGUGAAAGCACCCUUCUCUUCGGAGCCGAUUCACAGGUGCUGCAUGGCCGUCGUCAGCUCGUGUCGUGAGAUGUUCGGUUAAGUCCGGCAACGAGCGCAACCCUCGUCCUUAGUUGCCAGCAUUAAGUUGGGGACUCUAGGGAGACAAACCUCUUUGAGGUGGGAAGGUGGGGACGACGUCAGGUCAGUAUGGCCCUUACGCCUAGGGCUUCACACGUGCUACAAUGCCCAAUACAAUGAGACGCAACGCCGUGAGGUUGAGCAAAUCUAUAAAGUUGGGCCCAGUUCGGAUUGGAGUCUGCAACUCGACUCCAUGAAGCCGGAAUCGCUAGUAAAGGCGUAUCAGCAACGACGCCUUGAAUACGUUCCCGGGCCUUGUACACACCGCCCGUCAAGUCAUGAAAGCCGGUUUUGCCCGAAGUGUGUGCGUUAACUUCGGAAACAGCACCCUAAGGCAGGG